rnacentral:rRNA from 1 species
CCCUUAGACGUUCUGGGCCGCACGCGCGCUACACUGACGAAGGCAACGAGCCUUCCUUUACCGAAAGGUACGGGUAAUCUUUUGAAACUUCGUCGUGCUGGGGAUAGAUCCUUGCAAUUUUUGAUCUUAAACGAGGAAUGCCUAGUAAGCGCAAGUCAUCAACUUGCGUUGAUUACGUCCCUGCCCUUUGUACACACCGCCCGUCGCUACUACCGAUUGAAUGGUUUAGUGAGGCCUUCGGAUCCGCGACUCGUUUGUGGAGAAGUUGGACAAACUCAGUCAUUUAGAGGAAGUAAAAGUCGUAACA